GAUGAACGCUGGCGGCGUGCCUAAUACAUGCAAGUCGAGCGAACAGACGAGGAGCUUGCUCCUCUGACGUUAGCGGCGGACGGGUGAGUAACACGUGGAUAACCUACCUAUAAGACUGGGAUAACUUCGGGAAACCGGAGCUAAUACCGGAUAAUAUAUUGAACCGCAUGGUUCAAUAGUGAAAGACGGUUUUGCUGUCACUUAUAGAUGGAUCCGCGCCGCAUUAGCUAGUUGGUAAGGUAACGGCUUACCAAGGCAACGAUGCGUAGCCGACCUGAGAGGGUGAUCGGCCACACUGGAACUGAGACACGGUCCAGACUCCUACGGGAGGCAGCAGUAGGGAAUCUUCCGCAAUGGGCGAAAGCCUGACGGAGCAACGCCGCGUGAGUGAUGAAGGUCUUCGGAUCGUAAAACUCUGUUAUUAGGGAAGAACAAAUGUGUAAGUAACUAUGCACGUCUUGACGGUACCUAAUCAGAAAGUCACGGAUAACUACGU
rnacentral:rRNA from 1 species